rnacentral:rRNA from 1 species
GUGUCAGCCGCCGCGGUAAUACGUAGGUGGCGAGCGUUGUCCGGAAUUAUUGGGCGUAAAGCGCGCGUAGGCGGCUUGUCAGGUCCGACGUGAAAUCCCGGGGCUCAACCCCGGACGUGCGUCGGAAACCGGCUUGCUUGAGUCUGGGAGAGGGAAGUGGAAUUCCUGGUGUAGCGGUGAAAUGCGCAGAUAUCAGGAGGAACACCGGUAGCGAAGGCUGCUUCCUGGAACAGUACUGACGCUGAGGCGCGAAAGCUAGGGGAGCGAACAGGAUUAGAUACCCUGGUAGUCCUAGCCGUAAACGAUGGACACUAGGUGUCGGGAGUGUCGACUCUCCCGGUGCCGAAGCUAACGCAUUAAGUGUCCCGCCUGGGGAGUACGGCCGCAAGGUUAAAACUCAAAGAAAUUGACGG